CAGAGGCCUGGUCUCGAAAUUAAUUCGAUUUACGGAAAAAAGUAAAGAUUGCAACUUUGUUAUUAAAAAAAAAUCAACUAAACAUUACUGUCGAUGCUGUUAUAUGUUCUUAAUUCGUCAUGAUUAAAAAGUCCGGUUGUCAUACGACCAAAUCAUAUUUUAUUCAAAUUGAAGAUGCCGAAAGAAAGUGAAACUCUUACAAAAACUGAAUAAGUUUGGAUCUAAAUGUAAAACUUGCUUUAAAUCUUACAAAAUAAACUGUGGCAGUACAUCAACGAUAACCAGCCAUGUGAAAACCAAACAUGAAACAUCUUGGAAGGAACAUCUUUUAAAAACCAUCAAGGCACAACAAUAACAAUUGAAAGUAGUGUAUUAAAAAAUCAAAAACAUGAAUUAACUGAUCCAAAGCAAUUAAAAUUUAAAUUAGAUUUAACAAAGUUUGUCUGCAAUGGAGGUCUUUUGAAAUUUUGGAUGAUAAAGGAGCUCAAGAAUUUAUUGAUGAAGUAAAUAAUAAAUUUAUUGUCAAAUCUACAUCAACAAUUUAGACGUUAUAAAAUUCCAAUGUUGUAUAACAAGGUUAAGGAAGGGUUGCAACUAGAAUUUGUCAAAAGUUUUCCAAAGGUAACUGGAGUUAGUUUUACAACAGAUCUCUGGAAAAGUGGAAACCAUGAUUCCUUUUUGAGUCUUACAAUUCACUACAUUAAUUCAGAUUUUAAUUUAUUGAGUUUUUUCAUUGAUUGUACACCAUUUACGGGUAGACACACCAGGGUAGCAAUGGCUGUAAACCUGGAUUUUUUUAUUGCUAAUUUGAACUUAAAUAAAGAAGUACACAGAGCCUGCGUUAAUGACAAUGCCAGCUAAAAUAUUUUAGCUGCUAAAAUAAUGUUGAAAUCAACACAGAGUUUCUCUGCAACGAUGACAUAAUCCAGCUAGGUAUUCAUAAAGUGUUCAAAAAUUCAAUUGAACUUAUAAAAGCAUUGAAAAAGUGCACGGAUUUAGCAUCACACACACAUAGAAGUUAUUUCGCAACUGCUAAGCUUCAAAGUGAAUGCGAAAAACUUGAAAUUAAGGCCAGGAAAUUGAUUGUUCCGUGUACGACUCGAUGGAAUUUUAAGUACAUGUACAUAAAGUCUUCCAAGUCAAAAAAGCGAUCACAACACUUGCAUAAUCAAAUGAAGAAUUUGAAAGCUCAUGUCCUUCAGAUGAUCAAUGGAAUACACUAGAAUACAGCAUACCGUUUCUUGAAAAUAAUAUACAAUAUCUCAGUAGGUUUAUCAGCUAAUAAAAGACCAACAAUCUCAGAUGUAAUACCUGAAUUAUAUUCUUUGCACCAAGAACUACUUACCCUAUAAAAUCACAAAGUCAACGCAACAAGAAUAUUUAUAAAAAUACUGAUAAGUGAACUUCAGGAAAGAGAUUUUCUCAAUGGUUCUGAGCAGCUAAUUAAUUGUUAUGCUAAUUAAUAUUCAAUAAUAAUUAAUAAUAGAUCCGCGUUAGAAAGCCCUGCAUUUAAUUGAAUAUAAAAAAAUUAAUGAAAUAAAAGAAGCACUAUUGACCUAGGAAAAAAAAAAAAAAAGAAAAACUUCUAAUCAAAAGCAGUAAUGGAGACAAUGAAAGCAAUCAAAAUACUAACGUUAAUCACCACGAAAGGCUUAAAAUAAGACUAAAACUAAAUAUUUCAGCACGCAUCGCUUGGACGACAACUAAACUGGGUUUAGAAAUUGAUCAUUUUUUAGGAGCCAAAACAGCAGAGCAUUUAUUUUUUGAUUAAUACAUACGACGUGUAGUAACAUAUCAUAUUAGUUUACAUCAGUUGUAAAAUUAAAAAUAUUAACAUCAUGAUAGAUAUAUUUAUUUAGACGCAUGGUAUUUGUUAUACCACUGUAAGUUUUACGUGCAUUUCUAUUGGCGUGCAUAUUUGUUUAGGAUGUGCUGUUUUAGACACGUGGCUUGUGAUAUCCCACUGUAAAUUUGAAUUAGUAAAUUUAAAAAAGUUGUAUUUUAACUUGCAUUUCUUUUGGCAUACAUAUUUAUUUAGUUUAAUUAAGACUAAGUUUAUAUCACACUUUUUUAACUAUUAUUCUACUAUAUUUUAUAUUCACUAUUAUUUUAAAAUAAACUAUUUUAAACAUGUGACACUGUAUGACAUUGAAAAUGACACUGAACGUUUAAACAAGUUGUAAAAUUAAUUUUUUUAUAUUUUUACUUGAGUUUUUUUUGAUCUGCAUAUUUAAUCUUGUUUUGAUUUAUCAUAGUUUUUAAAAGGUUAGAGACCUUAUUUUUUGGUACUGAUAGGUAUUGAUGUAUGUGAAAUGUAUAAAGUCUUUCAGUUAUCAGACAAUGUCAAGGAGUUGACAGCAUGGUGUCCGAUUUAAAGUGCGAACCUGUGUACGAGUAACAACAGUAUUCGAAACCAAAACCUAUUUAAACCAACCAAACCAAAACUAGCGACCAAAAACAAAUAUCUUGGCGUUGGUUUAUUUUAAAUAUCUAUUAUAUACGUGUGUGUUUUAUAUAGAUGCACUAGCUUGUGUAUAGUGUAUUAAAAAUAUUUUAACUAUUUUUAUUGUAAUUUAAAGUAUAUUGGAUUAAACAUUAUAAAUAUUUUA